UACGUAGGGGGCAAGCGUUGUCCGGAAUCAUUGGGCGUAAAGAGCGUGUAGGCGGUCCGGUCAGUCGGUUGUGAAAGUCAAGGGCUCAACCCCUUGAAUGCCGGCCGAUACUGCCGGGCUAGAGUCCGGAAGAGGUGAGUGGAAUUCCUGGUGUAGCGGUGAAAUGCGCAGAUAUCAGGAGGAACACCGAUGGCGAAGGCAGCUCACUGGGACGGUACUGACGCUGAGACGCGAAAGCGUGGGGAGCAAACAGG
rnacentral:rRNA from 1 species